GCUAGUUUAUUUUGAAUAAGGAAUAAAUAUUAUUUUAAAAUUAAAAUAUAAUUCUGUCACCGCUCCUCUUUUUCAGUUGAAUUCUACAGUCACACCAUAUACACUCAUAACUGAAAAUCGCAUAAAAAUUUUAAAAUAGUUCCCAACAACUAAUAAAAACCGACACAUCUACAGUUAUAUUAAAAGUAAAAUUAAUCAAGAUGGACUGUGCUUUCUGCAACCGUACAAUGGAGGGCUGUGCGUCUAUAAAGUGCAGCCUGUGUGCGUCACAGUUCCACCUGGAGUGCGUGAGCAAUGAGCACCUGGUGCCCAGCACAAACAGCUGGCGGUGCUGCCGCUGCGAGUCGCUCAACUCCGCCGCGGCGCCCGCCACCAUGGACACAGCUGUCCGCGUCUAGAAUGUUUCUUUGUCGUAACUGGUAAAUUGAUUGUGAACCCUCCAUCAUGGCAUAUUUGGAAAUAAAUGUAUUUUGAUUUA